rnacentral:rRNA from 1 species
UACGUAGGGUGCAAGCGUUGUCCGGAAUUAUUGGGCGUAAAGAGCUCGUAGGCGGUUUGUCGCGUCUGCUGUGAAAACUCGGGGCUUAACCCUGAGCCUGCAGUGGGUACGGGCAGACUAGAGUGUGGUAGGGGAGAUCGGAAUUCCUGGUGUAGCGGUGGAAUGCGCAGAUAUCAGGAGGAACACCGGUGGCGAAGGCGGAUCUCUGGGCCAUAACUGACGCUGGGGAGCGAAAGCAUGGGGAGCGAACAGG